rnacentral:rRNA from 1 species
UACGGAGGGGGCUAGCGUUAUUCGGAAUUACUGGGCGUAAAGCGCACGUAGGCGGACUGAAAAGUCAGAGGUGAAAUCCCAGGGUUCAACCUUGGAAUUGCCUUUGAAACUCUCAGUUUUGAGGUCGAGAGAGGUGAGUGGAAUUCCGAGUGUAGAGGUGAAAUUUGUAGAUAUUCGGGGGAAUACUAGUGGUGAAGGCGGCUUAUUGGUUUGAUACUGACGCUGAGGUGCGAAAGCGUGGGGAGCAAAUAGG